rnacentral:rRNA from 1 species
GAUGAACGCUGGCGGCGUGCUUAACACAUGCAAGUCGAACGGAAAGGCCCAAGCUUGCUUGGGUACUCGAGUGGCGAACGGGUGAGUAACACGUGGGUGAUCUGCCCUGCACUUCGGGAUAAGCCUGGGAAACUGGGUCUAAUACCGGAUAGGACCACAUUUUGGAUGGUGUGGUGGAAAGUUUUUCGGUGUGGGAUGAGCUCGCGGCCUAUCAGCUUGUUGGUGGGGUAAUGGCCUACCAAGGCGUCGACGGGUAGCCGGCCUGAGAGGGUGUACGGCCACAUUGGGACUGAGAUACGGCCCAGACUCCUACGGGAGGCAGCAGUGGGGAAUAUUGCACAAUGGGCGCAAGCCUGAUGCAGCGACGCCGCGUGGGGGAUGACGGCCUUCGGGUUGUAAACUCCUUUCGCUAGGGACGAAGCGCAAGUGACGGUACCUGAAGAAGAAGCACCGGCUAACUACGUG